UUUCCUACUUAAUUUAAUAUUUAAUUAUUAUUGUUUAUUUAUUUUUAUGAAAUAACAUUUGCUUUAUAGUAAAUUUUGUUGAAGUUUAUUAUUUAUAUAUUUAUAGUUAAUUUAUCUGUGAGGGUAAAAUUUUUAUUGGGUUUUAAAAGUAGAAUUAUAUUUUUGUACCUUUUGUAUCAGGGUUUAACAAUUUAUUAUAUAUAAUUAUAUUUUUCCCGAAUUUAUAAGAGAUAACUAAUAUUCUGUUAUUUAUUAUGUCAAAAAUAUUAAUAAGAUUUAGUUGGGGGAUAUAUUCUAUUCAAUUAUAAUUAUAUCUGGUUUCUUGAUAUAUGAAUUUAAUUCAGGAUUAUUAAUAUUAAAUUUAUUCUUUUAUUUAUAUUUAUGUUAUAAUCUAAAAUUAAGGGGGAUAAGCUCUUUAAUUGUUUUAUAGUUAUAAUUUACAUAUCGUAAUUUAUUAAAUUAUAUAGGUUUAAUAAUGGCCAAUAUUUAUUUUGUUAUAAUUAUUUUUAAUAUAUUUUAUUUAUUUUAUUUGUUAACUUAAUUUUUUAUCAAGAUUUUAAAAUUAAUGUUUAAAUUUUAAGUAUUAAUGUUAAAAUUAGUAAUUUUUUAAUUUUAUAUAUAGUAAUUCGGCAAAUUUGAAUCUCACCUGUUUAUCAAAAACAUGUCCUGUUGAUUUAUUAAUUUCAGGUCGCUCCUGCUCAAUGAUUAUAUUUUUAAUUAAAUGGCCGCAGUAUUUUGACUGUGCAAAGGUAGCAUAAUCAUUUGUCUCUUAAUUGGAGGCUUGUAUGAAUGGAUUGAUGAAGUUUCAGCUUUCUUUAUAUAAAGUAUUGAAUUUAACUUUUUAGUUAAAAGGCUAAAAAUUUAUUUAUGGGACGAGAAGACCCUAUAGAAAUUUACUAGUUUAUAUGGAAUUUAUUAUUCUACUUAAUCAAAUAGUUCCAUUAUAUUCCAGUUUUGUUGGGGUGACAUUGAGAUUUAUUUAACUCACAAUUGUUUAAAUUAUUUAUUUAUAUUUUUAAUGAUCCUUUAUUAUUGAUAAAAAGAUUAAUUUACCUUAGGGAUAACAGCGUAAUUUUUUCGGAGAGUUCAUAUCGAUGAAGGAGUUUGCGACCUCGAUGUUGGAUUAAAAUUAGUUUUGUAGUGUAGCAGCUCAAUUUACUGGGUCUGUUCGACCUUUAAUUUUUUACAUGAUCUGAGUUCAGACCGGCGUGAGCCAGGUCGGUUUCUAUCUAUAAUUAUAAAUAAUUAUACUUUAGUACGAAAGGACCAAGUAUAGCAUAAAUUUAUGUUUGAUAUUGAUUAAUUAUUAAUAU
rnacentral:rRNA from 1 species